rnacentral:rRNA from 1 species
UACGAAGGGGGCUAGCGUUGUUCGGAUUUACUGGGCGUAAAGGGCGCGUAGGCGGUUUGUACAGUCAGACGUGAAAUUCCUGGGCUCAACCUGGGGGCUGCGUUUGAUACGUGCAGACUUGAGUUCGGAAGAGGGUCGUGGAAUUCCCAGUGUAGAGGUGAAAUUCGUAGAUAUUGGGAAGAACACCGGUGGCGAAGGCGGCGACCUGGUCCGAUACUGACGCUGAGGCGCGAAAGCGUGGGGAGCAAACAGG